rnacentral:rRNA from 1 species
GCACGAGAAAGGGGCAACCUGAGUAAAGUGGCGACCGGGUGAGUAACACGUGACUAACCUACCUCCGAGUGGGGAAUAACUCCGGGAAACCGGGGCUAAUACCGCAUAACAUCGCAAGAUCAAAGCAGCAAUGCGCUUGGAGAGGGGGUCGCGGCUGAUUAGCUAGUUGGCGGGGUAACGGCCCACCAAGGCGAAGAUCGGUAUCCGGCCUGAGAGGGCGCACGGACACACUGGAACUGAAACACGGUCCAGACUCCUACGGGAGGCAGCAGUGGGGAAUUUUGCGCAAUGGGGGAAACCCUGACGCAGCAACGCCGCGUGGAGGAUGAAGCCCUUUGGGGCGUAAACUCCUUUCGACUCGGACGAUAAUGACGGUACGAGUGGAAGAAGCACCGGCUAACUCUGUG